rnacentral:lncRNA from 1 species
GCAUAUCUCUGAAUCUUCUUCUUUUUCUUCUUCUUCUUCUACUCCUUUUAGUCUUGCGAAUUUUCCCUUUCAGUUUUCUGCGAAUUUUUUUUUUCUUUUUUUCCUUUUAGGUUAUGCGAUUUUUCCUUUCAGUUUUCUUUCAGUUUGUUUUCUUUUUACUUUUAAUAAUACACACAACCACAAUCUUCUUCUUUUUUAUUUACUCUACUCAAACUUAUGAACUAUGUUGAAUGAGCUUUUCUUUUCAUGACCCCAUUGAUGUGAUGACUCUUUAAACUUAAGUUGAAUCAAUUGCACUGAGUUAUAUUCAUGUUUAAGAAUUAUCUUUUUAAUUGAAUCUUUGAGCUUGCCAUGGUGAAAAAUAUAUUGAUGACUCUCAUUAGAGAGAAUGAAUUGAAAGUUGUGUGAAUGAAC